UACGUAGGGGGCAAGCGUUGUCCGGAUUUAUUGGGCGUAAAGCGCGUGUAGGCGGCCACGCAGGUCCGCUGUGAAAACUCGAGGCUCAACCUCGAGCUGUCGGUGGAAACCGCGUGGCUAGAGUCCGGAAGAGGGGACUGAAAUUCCCGGUGUAGCGGUGAAAUGUGUAGAGAUCGGGAGGAACACCGGUGGCGAAGGCGGUCUUCUGGACGGUGACUGACGCUGAGGCGCGAAAGCGUGGGGAGCAAACGGG
rnacentral:rRNA from 1 species